rnacentral:lncRNA from 1 species
CUUAACACAUGCGAGGCAGUUUUCUAAAUACCCAUAGCUUACUGUUGUAGCUAUGAACAUAAAUGACCUCUGCAAAGUGGCUUGCAAUCUCAUUGUAGCUAUCCACAUGCCGAAAACAUCAAUGAUAAGAACUUAGGAUCUUUACCACCAACUCGUCAAAGAAGAUACAGAGGGAACAGGAGAAGGGGGUUAUCUUCUAACCUCUCAAUAGACACCGUAUGAG